UGGGGAAUAUUGCGCAAUGGGGGGAACCCUGACGCAGCCAUGCCGCGUGAAUGAAGAAGGCCUUAGGGUUGUAAAGUUCUUUCGGUAUUGAGGAAGGUUGAUGUGAUAAUAGCACAUCAAAUUGACGUUAAAUACAGAAGAAGCACCGGCUAACUCCGUGCCAGCAGCCGCGGUAAUACGGAGGGUGCGAGCGUUAAUCGGAAUAACUGGGCGUAAAGGGCACGCAGGCGGUUAUUUAAGUGAGGUGUGAAAGCCCUGGGCUUAACCUAGGAAUUGCAUUUCAGACUGGGUAACUAGAGUACUUUAGGGAGGGGUAGAAUUCCACGUGUAGCGGUGAAAUGCGUAGAGAUGUGGAGGAAUACCGAAGGCGAAGGCAGCCCCUUGGGAAUGUACUGACGCUCAUGUGCGAAAGCGUGGGGAGCAAACAGGAUUAGAUACCCUGGUAGUCCACGCUGUAAACGCUGUCGAUUUGGGGGUUGGGGUUUAACUCUGGCGCCCGUAGCUNACGUGAUAAAUCGACCGCCUGGGGAGUACGGCCGCAAGGUUA
rnacentral:rRNA from 1 species